rnacentral:rRNA from 1 species
AAUGAACGCUGGCGGCAGGCCUAACACAUGCAAGUCGAACGGAUCCUUCGGGAUUAGUGGCGGACGGGUGAGUAACGCGUGGGAACAUACCCUUUGGUACGGAAUAGCCUCGGGAAACUGGGAGUAAUACCGUAUGUGGUCGAGAGACGAAAGAUUUAUCGCCAAAGGAUUGGCCCGCGUUGGAUUAGGUAGUUGGUGGGGUAAUGGCCUACCAAGCCGACGAUCCAUAGCUGGUUUGAGAGGAUGAUCAGCCACACUGGGACUGAGACACGGCCCAGACUCCUACGGGAGGCAGCGGUGGGGAAUCUUAGACAAUGGGGGAAACCCUGAUCUAGCCAUGCCGCGUGAGCGAUGAAGGCCUUAGGGUUGUAAAGCUCUUUCAGCUGGGAAGAUAAUGACUGUACCAGCAGAAGAAGCCCCGGCUAACUCCGUG